rnacentral:rRNA from 1 species
UACGGGGGGAGCAAGCGUUGUUCGGAUUUACUGGGCGUAAAGGGCGCGUAGGCGGCGCGGUAAGUCACUUGUGAAAUCUCUGAGCUUAACUCAGAACGGCCAAGUGAUACUGCAGUGCUAGAGUGUGGAAGGGGCAAUCGGAAUUCUUGGUGUAGCGGUGAAAUGCGUAGAUAUCAAGAGGAACACCUGAGGUGAAGACGGGUUGCUGGGCCAACACUGACGCUGAGGCGCGAAAGCUAGGGGAGCAAACGGG